rnacentral:rRNA from 1 species
UACGAAGGGGGCUAGCGUUGUUCGGAAUUACUGGGCGUAAAGCGCGCGCAGGCGGUCUUCCAAGUCAGUGGUGAAAGCCCGGAGCUCAACUCCGGAACUGCCAUUGAAACUGUUGGACUUGAGUACGAGAGAGGUGAGUGGAAUUCCCAGUGUAGAGGUGAAAUUCGUAGAUAUUGGGAAGAACACCGGUGGCGAAGGCGGCGACCUGGUCCAUUACUGACGCUGAGGCGCGAAAGCGUGGGGAGCAAACAGG